AUGUCCCAGGCAUUUCUUUUCACCAUUAUCUUGAUCUCUGUUGGCCCCAGCCUUCAACAACUGCAGACCCUGAAGGACCCAGAAUUUGUGGCCCCUGAGGGCACAGUCACCAUAUCUUAUCUAUAUGAUGGUGGAACCCUUGGGAAUGGCAACUACCCUUGGUGGUCCCAGAAGGUACCUGGGAAGAAACCUCAAACUUUGAUCUUUGCAACCAGUACCAGAGCAUCGGGGGUUCCAGCCCGUUUCUCUGGUUCCAGAUCAGGGAAUGUGAUGUCCUUGACUAUCACUGGGGCUCUGCUUGAAGACAAAGCGACCUACUAUUGUUGCAUCUGGACGGGUAGUCAGUUACACAGCGAUUGA